rnacentral:rRNA from 1 species
AAAUUGAAGAGUUUGAUCAUGGCUCAGAUUGAACGCUGGCGGCAGGCCUAACACAUGCAAGUCGAACGGUAGCACAGAGAGCUUGCUCUCGGGUGACGAGUGGCGGACGGGUGAGUAAUGUCUGGGAAACUGCCCGAUGGAGGGGGAUAACUACUGGAAACGGUAGCUAAUACCGCAUAACGUCGCAAGACCAAAGUGGGGGACCUUCGGGCCUCACACCAUCGGAUGUGCCCAGAUGGGAUUAGCUAGUAGGUGGGGUAACGGCU